rfam:Brassica oleracea var. oleracea cultivar TO1000 chromosome C1, whole genome shotgun sequence
AACCCAUGAUGGGGGCAUUCUCUGUGGUAGUUGUUGAAACGCUCCCAUGCAUCACAUAAGGGAUCACCAUGAAAUCUGCUUGAAUGUGGAGAUCUUGUUCCUCAAGGCU